CCUACGGGGCGCAGCAGUAGGGAAUCUUCCACAAUGGACGAAAGUCUGAUGGAGCAACGCCGCGUGAGUGAAGAAGGGUUUCGGCUCGUAAAGCUCUGUUGGGAGUGAAGAAAGAUAGAGGUAGUAACUGGCCUUUAUUUGACGGUAAUUACUUAGAAAGUCACGGCUAACUACGUGCCAGCAGCCGCGGGAAUACGUAGGGGGCAAGCGUUGUCCGGAUUUAUUGGGCGUAAAGCGAGUGAAGGCGGAUUAA
rnacentral:rRNA from 1 species